GACGGAGGGCGCGAACGUUGUUCGGAAUCACUGGGCGUAAAGGGCGCGUAGGCGGAUCGGUAAGUCAGACGUGAAAUCCCGGGGCUCAACUCCGGGCCUGCGUUUGAAACUGCCGGUCUAGAGUGCAGGAGAGGAAGGCGGAAUUCCAGGUGUAGCGGUGGAAUGCGUAGAUAUCUGGAAGAACACCAGUGGCGAAGGCGGCCUUCUGGACUGACACUGACGCUGAGGCGCGAAAGCUAGGGGAGCAAACAGG
rnacentral:rRNA from 1 species